CCUACGGUGAGCAGCAGUGAGGAAUAUUGGUCAAUGGGCGGAAGCCUGAACCAGCCAAGUAGCGUGCGGGAUGAAGGCCCUACGGGUCGUAAACCGCUUUUGCACGGGGAUAACACCCUCCACUUGUGGAGGUCUGCAGGUACCGUGCGAAUAAGGGCCGGCUAAUUCCGUGCCAGCAGCCGCGGUAAUACGGAAGGCCCGAGCGUUAUCCGGAUUCAUUGGGCUUAAAGGGAGCGUAGGCGGGCGUUCAAGUCAGCUGUAAAAUCGCGCGACUCAACCGCGCCCCGCAGUUGAAACUGGACGCCUUGAGUUCAGAGCAGGCAGGCGGAAUUCGUGGUGUAGCGGUGAAAUGCAUAGAUAUCACGAGGAACCCCGAUUGCGAAGGCAGCCUGCCGGGGUGCGACUGACGCUGAGGCUCGAAGGUGCGGGUAUCAAACAGGAUUAGAUACCCGAGUAGUC
rnacentral:rRNA from 1 species